rnacentral:rRNA from 1 species
GACGGAGGAUGCAAGUGUUAUCCGGAAUCACUGGGCGUAAAGCGUCUGUAGGUUGUUUAAAAAGUCUGCAGUUAAAGGUUGAAAGCUUAACUUCAAAAAUGCCGUAGAAACUUUUAAACUAAGAGGAUGGUAGGGGUAGAGGGAAUUUCCAGUGGAGCGGUGAAAUGUGUAGAUAUUGGAAAGACCACCGAUGGCGAAGGCACUCUACUGGGCCAUGACUGACACUGAGAGACGAAAGCUAGGGGAGCAAAUGGG